AGUUCAUGAUUUAGGCAUUGGGCCAAUUUUCCAUUAAACCAUUCCCAAGCUUCAUACAAUGGCUCUCCAUUCAUUUGCUGAAAAUUCACAAUCUCGUCCUGCUUUU
rfam:Capsicum annuum cultivar Zunla-1 chromosome 2, whole genome shotgun sequence